rnacentral:rRNA from 1 species
AUUGAACGCUGGCGGCAUGCCUUAUACAUGCCAGUCGAACGGCAGCACGGGUGCUUGCCCCUGGUGGCGAGUGGCGAACGGGUGAGUAAUACAUCGGAACAUGUCCUGUAGUGGGGGAUAGCCCGGCGAAAGCCGGAUUAAUACCGCAUACGAUCUACGGAUGAAAGCGGGGGACCUUCGGGCCUCGCGCUAUAGGGUUGGCCGAUGGCUGAUUAGCUAGUUGGUGGGGUAAAGGCCUACCAAGGCGACGAUCAGUAGCUGGUCUGAGAGGACGACCAGCCACACUGGGACUGAGACACGGCCCAGACUCCUACGGGAGGCAGCAGUGGGGAAUUUUGGACAAUGGGCGAAAGCCUGAUCCAGCAAUGCCGCGUGUGUGAAGAAGGCCUUCGGGUUGUAAAGCACUUUUGUCCGGAAAGAAAUCCUUGGCCCUAAUACGGUCGGGGGAUGACGGUACCGGAAGAAUAAGCACCGGCUAACUACGUG